GAUGCUGUUUGUCUCUGUAGGACAGUAGUUCAUGUGGCUGUUUGUCUUUGUAGGACAGUAGUUCAGGUGGCUGUUUGUCUUUGUAGGACAGUAGUUCAGGUGGCUGUUUGUCUUUGUAGGACAGUAGUUCAGGUGGCUGUUUGUGUAGAUGCUGUUUGUCUCUGUAGGACAGUAGUUCAGGUGGCUGUUUGUGUAGAUGCUGUUUGUCUCUGUAGGACAGUAGUUCAGGUGGCUGUUUGUCUCUGUAGGACAGUAGUUCAGGUGGCUGUUUGUCUCUGUAGGACAGUAGUUCAGGUGGCUGUUUGUCUUUGUAGGACAGUAGUUCAGGUGGCUGUUUGUCUUUGUAGGACAGUAGUUCAGGUGGCUGUUUGUCUUUGUAGGACAGUAGUUCAGGUGGCUGUUUGUCUUUGUAGGACAGUAGUUCAGGUGGCUGUUUGUCUUUGUAGGACAGUAGUUCAGGUGGCUGUUUGUCUUUGUAGGACAGUAGUUCAGGUGGCUGUUUGUGUAGAUGCUCUUUGUCUUUGUAGGACAGUAGUUCAGGUGGCUGUUUGUGUAGAUGCUGUUUGUCUUUGUAGGACAGUAGUUCAGGUGGC
ensembl:lncRNA